rnacentral:rRNA from 1 species
UACGUAGGGUGCAGGCGUUAAUCGGAAUUACUGGGCGUAAAGCGUGCGCAGGCGGUCUUUUAAGUCAGAUGUGAAAUCCCCGGGCUUAACCUGGGAACUGCGUUUGAAACUGGAAGGCUUGAGUGUGGCAGAGGGGGGUGGAAUUCCAGGUGUAGCGGUGAAAUGCGUAGAUAUCUGGAGGAACACCGGUGGCGAAGGCGGCAUCCUGGACCAAUACUGACGCUGAGGAGCGAAAGCCAGGGGAGCAAACGGG